rnacentral:rRNA from 1 species
UAGGGAAUUUUCGUCAAUGGGGGGAACCCUGAACGAGCAAUGCCGCGUGAGUGAGGAAGGUCUUCGGAUCGUAAAGCUCUGUUGUAAGAGAAAAACGGCACUCAUAGGGAAUGAUGAGUGAGUGAUGGUAUCUUACCAGAAAGUCACGGCUAACUACGUGCCAGCAGCCGCGGUAAUACGUAGGUGGCGAGCGUUAUCCGGAAUGAUUGGGCGUAAAGGGUGCGUAGGUGGCAGAUCAAGUCUGGAGUAAAAGGUAUGGGCUCAACCCGUACUGGCUCUGGAAACUGAUCAGCUAGAGAACAGAAGAGGACGGCGGAACUCCAUGUGUAGCGGUAAAAUGCGUAGAUAUAUGGAAGAACACCGGUGGCGAAGGCGGCCGUCUGGUCUGGAUUCUGACACU